CUUAAAAAUCUGAAGACAUCAAUGAGAAGGAACACAAAAACCAUGGUGCAUAAGUUAUGUCCAACAAGUCCUUUAAAAUACAGCUAUGGAUUGGAUUCAGCAGCCAGAGUCACAUGAGCACCAGAUCCUUCUUGCUCCUAUGACAGAGGGUCCUUGACUUGUGUGAAAUUUACUGAAGCAGAUGCUCCAUUUGUCUGGUUAUGCUAUGCAAUGAUUCUGUCCAAAUACUACAGAGGCACCAAAAGGGUAUUGAACAAAUCUUAUGGGGGAAGUCAUGAGGACACAAAGGAUAACUGUCUCCAACUUUGAAGCUGUGCUUAAUUUUAAGUGAAAAAGGAAUUUGGCUUGAUGGAUUGAUUGGGUGCUUAAGGUGUUUCACAUAAUUUAGUUCUGCAUCCCCCUCUCUGUGAAGUAUCUUACCAGACUCUGUAUGCUAGGACAGCAAUUUCCAAGUUUGUGCAAGUCAAGUGUACCUACUCUGCUGCAUUAUUAACAGCUGAAGAUGCAGUCCAUUAUCUGAAAGACUUAUACUUAGAAUACGGGAAAGAUUCUUUACAUCUGAAAACUGACCUUGCCUACCACCACCAGAUUCAAGGUCAACACAUGUG